rnacentral:rRNA from 1 species
AUUGAACGCUGGCGGCAGGCCUAACACAUGCAAGUCGAACGCGUGGCGGACGGGUGAGUAAUGUCUGUGACACUGCCCGAUGGAGGGGGGUAACUACUGGAAACGGUAGCUAAUACCGCACACCUUCGGAUGUGCCCAGAUGGGAUUCGCUAGUGGGUGGGGUAACGGCUCACCUAGGCGACGAUCCCUAGCUGGUCUGAGAGGAUGACCAGCAACACUGGAACUGAGACACGGUCCAGACGCCUACGGGAGGCAGCAGUGGGGAAUAUUGCACAAUGGGCGCAAGCCUGAUGCAGCCAUGCCGCGGGUAUGAAGAAGGCCUUCGGGUUGUAAAGUACUUUCAGCGAGGAGGCGUUACUCACAGAAGAAGCACCGGCUAACUCCGUGCCAGCAGCCGCGGUAAUAC